AUGCUUAGCAGCAAAGGAUGUGAUGCACUUGAGGGGCUGGAGCACAGCUGGCAGGGAGAGGGGUUUUGUGAGACAACAAGUCCUCCUGUUGGAUUGGAGUGUUUGCUCCUGGUCUCCCUGUGGAAGGUCUGAAAGCUCCAGUUGACUUCUUCCCCCAGAAGGGUGCAACAGCUGGAUCCAGGUCAGUACCUCCUGUGGACCCUCUCUUAAAUUCUUAAUUGACUCAUAAUACCCUGUAUGUUACACAGCAGUAUUGUCACCAGGCUGUUUGCAAACCAUGGGCUCUGAGAGCCUGUGGAGAGGGAGGGGGCAGAGCUCAACUUUGUCAUUGUGCAGGAAUGCUGAGGGAUCAUUUUAUCCCCACUCUAAAUUCCAAAUGCUUCCACUUGCCCGUGACAAACAGCAGAGUGGCAGAUGCCAAGCCUGUGCCUCUCUGUUUCACAGUCCAGACUGGACCAGCACAAGACCCAAAUCCAGAACAGCUGGGAUGAAAAGUUUCCUGGACAGCUUUGUUAGCAUCCCAGCACUCAGUGGAGAACCAGGAUGUUCCUUACAUCUGAAACUUUCUGGGAAGUCUCCUGUCCUGGAAAUGUCCAAGGCCAGGCUGGAUGGGGUUUGGAACAACCUGGAAUAGUGGGAGGUGUCCCACCCCAUGGCAGGGGGCUGGAAUGUUAAGGUCCCUUCCCCAGCCUUUCUGGGAACAUCACGUUGGAGAAGAGCAAUGAUUUCACUGGUAAAACCCCAAAGCCCCUCAUUUUGAAAAGACCGUAAGGCGAGACUGCAGACGGCAAACAAAAUUUCCAGCAGAGGAAAACCACUGAAACAGAAAUACAAGACCUGAUUGGCAGCCUGGGAGGAGAAACCUGAGGUAGCUGAGGGUCUGGACUCAUGGGAGCAUCCCAAACAAACACUCGUCAGUCCCUUGAGGUGUCUGUUACCCCAACAAGUGCCAGUCCUCGUGAAGCUGGUUCAGAACAAAGCUGCAGAGCAGGUGUUGGAAGGGUCAGGCUAAGGAAGGAAAGGAAAAGCUGAAGUGCCUGAGGUGCAGGGAAGCAUUUUACUCUAUUCCCUGACUUUGCUUCCCCACUGCAGGCAUCACUGGAUGUGAUCCCUCUGGAGGUGCUGCCAGACCAUUGAGUGCUCCAUCCCUGCCCUCCAGACACCCUCUUCCUGGAGGAAAGUUGGCAGCUUUGGGUUUAUUCCAUCUUUUCACCCAUGCCGAAACCUAUUUAAUAUCAGGUUUGCUGUGGGUUUGUUUGGGUUUGGUCCCACAAACGCCUCUGGGGCAGGUCAGUACAUCUCCCAAGCCACCCCUUGGCUGUGCCUUUGGAGUUUGCAAAAUCCAAGGAGACCUCUCUUGUUCUGCUUGAAUAUCCCUCCUCAUCUCAGUCUCAAAUGGUGGGAAGCAUCAGGGAAUAUUAUUGACAAACAAUAGAUGUCUGGUGGAGACGCUGGUGAUUUUCCUGGUACAAAAGGCUGCUACAUCCUCUGUGAUAAUUCCCCUUUUUUUCUUCCUUGUUGGCUUUGUGGUUUUGUGAUUUAUUUGUGGGCUGGCAGGCGUCCACAGCCCUGCAGGAAAUGGAUGUCUGCUCUUGUGUUUGGGGGGGCCAUAUAAACGUGUAAUUUUCCCACUACAUUAAUUACAGACAUUUCUCCCUGGCUGGAGCAGCUC